CAGUCGCCGCGGGAAUACGUAGGGUGCAAGCGUUAAUCGGGAUUACUGGGCGUAAAGCGUGCGCAGGCGGUUCGCUAAGACAGAUGUGAAAUCCCCGGGCUUAACCUGGGAACUGCGCUUGUGACUGCACAGCUAGAGUAUGGCAGAGGGGGGUGGAAUUCCACGUGUAGCAGUGAAAUGCGUAGAGAUGUGGAGGAACACCGAUGGCGAAGGCAGCCCCCUGGGCCAAUACUGACGCUCAUGCACGAAAGCGUGGGGAGCAAACAGGAUUAGAUACCCCAGUAGUCCCUGUCUCUUAUAC
rnacentral:rRNA from 1 species